GCCUCUAUAGCUCAGUGGUAGAGCGCUUGACUUGUACCUAAAUAGAUAUCAAGAGGUCCGUGGUUCAAUCCCGCGUGGAGGCA